rnacentral:rRNA from 2 species
GGUCUCCGUUGGUGAACCAGCGGAGGGAUCAUUACCGAGUUAUACAACUCAUCAACCCUGUGAACAUACCUAUAACGUUGCCUCGGCGGGAACAGACGGCCCCGUAACACGGGCCGCCCCCGCCAGAGGACCCCCUAACUCUGUUUCUAUAAUGUUUCUUCUGAGUAAACAAGCAAAUAAAUUAAAACUUUCAACAACGGAUCUCUUGGCUCUGGCAUCGAUGAAGAACGCAGCGAAAUGCGAUAAGUAAUGUGAAUUGCAGAAUUCAGUGAAUCAUCGAAUCUUUGAACGCACAUUGCGCCCGCCAGUAUUCUGGCGGGCAUGCCUGUUCGAGCGUCAUUACAACCCUCAGGCCCCCGGGCCUGGCGUUGGGGAUCGGCGGAAGCCCCCUGCGGGCACAACGCCGUCCCCCAAAUACAGUGGCGGUCCCGCCGCAGCUUCCAUUGCGUAGUAGCUAACACCUCGCAACUGGAGAGCGGCGCGGCCACGCCGUAAAACACCCAACUUCUGAAUGUUGACCUCGAAUCAGGUAGGAAUACCCGCUGAACUUAAGCAUAUCAAUAAGCGGAGGA